rnacentral:lncRNA from 1 species
GGAGAAAUAGGAACACUUUUACACUGUUGGUGGGACUGUAAACUAGUUCAACCAUUGUGGAAGUCAGUGUGGUGAUUCCUUAGGGAUCUAGAACUACAAAUACCAUUUGACCCAGCCAUCCCAUUACUGGGUAUAUACCCAAAGGACUCUAAAUCAUGCUGCUAUAAAGACACAUGCACACGUAUGUUUAUUGCUUCAUUAUUCACAAUAGCAAAGACUUGGAACCAACCCAGAUGUCCAACAAUGAUAGACUGGAUUAAGAAAAUGUGGCACAUAUACACCCUGGAAUACUAUGCAGCCAUAAAAUGGAUGAGUUCAUGUCCUUUGUAGGGACAUGGAUGAAAUUGGAAAUCAUCA